rnacentral:rRNA from 1 species
CAGUCGCCGCGGUAAUACGUAGGGUGCAAGCGUUGUUCGGAAUUACUGGGCGUAAAGCGCACGUAGGCGGAUAUUUAAGUCAGGGGUGAAAUCCCGCAGCUCAACUGCGGAACUGCCUUUGAUACUGGGUAUCUUGAGUAUGGAAGAGGUUAGUGGAAUUGCGAGUGUAGAGGUGAAAUUCGUAGAUAUUCGCAGGAACACCAGUGGCGAAGGCGGCUAACUGGUCCAUAACUGACGCUGAGGUGCGAAAGCGUGGGGAGCAAACAGGAUUAGAUACCCCAGUAGUCCCUGUCUCUUAUAC